rnacentral:rRNA from 1 species
CCCUUAGAUGUUCUGGGCCGCACGCGCGCUACACUGACGAAUGCAACGAGCUUAUAACCUUGGCCGAAAGGUCUGGGUAAUCUCCAAAUUUCGUCGUGAUGGGGAUAGAUUAUUGCAAUUAUUAAUCUUCAACGAAGAAUGCCUAGUAAGCGCAAGUCAUCAGCUUGCGUUGAUUACGUCCCUGCCCUUUGUACACACCGCCCGUCGCUCCUACCGAUUGAAUGGUCCGGUGAAGCGUUCGGACCGUGGCCUUUGGACGGUUCGCCGUCUGUUGGCUGCGGGAAGUUCGUUAAACCUUAUCAUUUAGAGGAAGGAGAAGUCGUAACA